rnacentral:lncRNA from 1 species
AAGCUAUGAAAUUCAAUCUUCUCAACAAAACUCAACGAACUCUACAAUCAAAUGAAGCACUAAAUACGUAUAAAACAAAACCAAAAAGGAUAAAAAGGCAAUUCUUUAAAAUAAAUAGAUGAAAACUUGAGACAACCAAGCCCACGUCAAAGAAAAUUAUCCAAACUCUCCGCUCAGCAAUGCAAAACCAAUUUGCUCCUCUUCGG